rnacentral:piRNA from 7 species
GGCUAAGAUCAAGUGUAGUAUCUGUUCU